rnacentral:rRNA from 1 species
UACAGAGGGUGCAAGCGUUAAUCGGAAUUACUGGGCGUAAAGCGCACGUAGGCGGUUUUUUAAGUCAGAUGUGAAAGCCCCGGGCUCAACCUGGGAAUUGCAUUUGAAACUGGGAAACUAGAGUGUGUGGGAGGGGGGUAGAAUUCCAAGUGUAGCGGUGAAAUGCGUAGAGAUUUGGAGGAAUACCAGUGGCGAAGGCGGCCCCCUGGCACAACACUGACGCUCAGGUGCGAAAGCGUGGGGAGCAAACAGG